CGCGUGGGAACCUGCCCCUGGGUACGGGACAACGUCUGGAAACGGGCGCUAAUACCGUAUACGUCCUUCGGGAGAAAGAUUUAUCGCCCUGGGAGGGGCCCGCGUCCGAUUAGCUUGUUGGUGGGGUAAUGGCCUACCAAGGCGACGAUCGGUAGCUGGUCUGAGAGGAUGAUCAGCCACACUGGGACUGAGACACGGCCCAGACUCCUGCGGGAGGCAGCAGUGGGGAAUAUUGGACAAUGGGGGCAACCCUGAUCCAGCAAUGCCGCGUGUGUGAUGAAGGCCUUAGGGUUGUAAAGCACUUUCACUGGUGAAGAUGAUGACGGUAUCCAGAGAAGAAGCCCCGGCUAACUCCGUGCCAGCAGCCGCGGUAAUACGGAGGGGGCAAGCGUUGUUCGGAAUUACUGGGCGUAAAGGGCGUGCAGGCUGUGGUUUAAGUUGGGCGUGAAAGCCCGGGGCUCAACCCCGGAAUUGCGCUUGAUACUGGAUCA
rnacentral:rRNA from 1 species